AGAAGGCUAUCAUCACAGAGACAGCAGAGCCUUGCUCAACCUCUUCUUUAACCCCGCGAGAGUCCAGUCAUCAUCGCACUGCUACACAGCAGGUGUCACACACAGUUGGACAGCGGACGAUGAUGAUCCCCCAAACAAAAGGUAAGUGAAACCCAAGGCACCGGAUGGAAGAAGAUGACUGAGGCACCUAAGAGAGGAUGAUGACCCUAGGCACCGAGACACUGAGGCACCGGAGAGCGACCUAAGGCACCAGAGGACGAUAACCCGAGGCAUCAGAGGACUCUGGAGGAUGAUGGCCUAGGCACUGGCGGGAGGACCCUAUGUACCAAAGGACCGCGAGGCUCAGAGAAUGAGGGUCCAAGGCACCAGAAGAUGAUCCCCGCAGCCACCUGAGAGAGGACAAUGACCUGAGGCACCGGAGAACCGAGGCACUAAAGACCUGAGGCACCAGAAGAGUAUGGAAGAUGAUGACCUAGGCACUGGAGGGAGGAUGAGGACCCAAUGCACUGAAGGACCACGCCAGAGGACAACAACCCGAGGCACCAUAGGAAGGACGAUGACCCAAGGCACCGCACCGAAGGACAGGGGCACCAAAGACCUGAGGCACCAGAGGAUGAUGACCCGGAGCAUCAGAGGACUAUGGAGGAUGCUGACCCAGGCACUGGAGGGAAGAUGAGGACCCAAAGCACCAAAGGACUGCGAGGCAGGGGGAACAAAGGCCCAAGGCUCCAGAGACAGCGCCCUGAGGCACCAAGAAUCACUGGAUUGCAGAGUCUGGACUCCAGAUAUCUCCAUCAUGGCUUGAUGACUUCCUGAGCCCUCCACUUUAUCAUCAGUUAAAAUGUGAACAGGGGACCGUCCCAAGCCCCCUGACCUGUCUGCAGCUUAGCUGUGGGAGAGGGGAGGAUGACCAUGCCUGAAUGUGCUGUACCUAGUCUGGAGUAAAACACCCAACUCACCGUG